rnacentral:sRNA from 1 species
GGUGCUAUCCUAUUUGAGCUUAUCUUUUUCCCUUUUUUUUUUUUUCUUGACCUUGCAAGACUUUUUCUCCCGUAGAUCAUCCUCCUGGCCGUCCUCUACUCCGCUCCACUUCUGCCGACCUUCCCACCACCCCCCCAUUUGUCUAUCCCUCCUGAGCUA